UACGUAGGGGGCAAGCGUUGUCCGGAUUUACUGGGCGUAAAGCGCGUGUAGGCGGCUACACAGGUCCGUUGUGAAAACUGAAGGCUUAACCUUCAGACGUCGACGGAAACCGUGUGGCUAGAGUCCGGAAGAGGAGAGUGGAAUUCCUGGUGUAGCGGUGAAAUGCGCAGAUAUCAGGAAGAACACCAAUGGCGAAGGCAGCUCUCUGGGACGGUACUGACGCUGAGACGCGAAAGCGUGGGGAGCGAACAGG
rnacentral:rRNA from 1 species